CACCAAAAAUAUGCAAAAGGCUUUUUGAAAGAACAUAAAACCAUGUCCUUGAUUGACAUCAUAAGAAGUAGGGGAGAUAUAUCUGUCUCCAAACUCUUCUGCGUAGCUGACCAGAGCCUCUUUGACUGUCUUGUAUCCAGCCAGAACCACCACUUUAUUGGUUCCUUUGACAGCUGGAAAAGUUAUUUAUACAGAUAAAUAUGUGAGAAAGAAGCUCAGAACAUUUCGUAGUACAAACCAUGCAAAAAUUCUGACAUCACACAUACUGUAUCCAGAUACACAUAAGUGGUGUUUAAUUGUGUUAAUAUAAAACAAAGUAUUAAGCAGUGGUGGAAGAAGCAUUCUGAUUCUUUAUUUAAGUAAAAAUACUAAUACAACAAUCUAAAAAUACUCAAUUACAAGUAAAAGUGCUGCAUUCAAAAUUUUACUUGUGUAAAAGUACAGAAGUACUAUCAGCGAAAUGUACUUAAAGUAUCAAAAGUAAAAGUACUUAUUUCACAAAAAAUUAUCCCCAUCAGUGAUAUAUUAUUGCAUAUGACUUUAUUAGAUUAAUAUUGAUGCAUCAAUGCGUAAGCAGAAUGUUACUGUUUUAACUACUAUAUAUUAUAUCCAGUAAAGUACUUUAAUCCAUUGGCUCCCAACUUGGGGUCAGCCAGGACAGUCGUGACAAACUUCCCAUUCUUGUACAACAAAUGGGCAGGAUUAAAGGUGUGUGAUUAUUAAUACUAAAUGCUUUAAAGAGCAGUACAAACUACUAUCUUUAAACAGCUUUCUAGAAUCAAGCAUGCAGUUGCCUCUUGUUUCAUAAUUGUUCAUUACUACUACUGUACGUUACUUGAAGACUUGUUUUAAUCAGACCUUUCUAAUAAAAUAGCCCUGGAAAGUCAUAUCUGUGCUUGUGAUGUGUGGAAGAGCGUUGGGAGAGAUACUGGCCAGUCUCUGUGUCUCAUGGACGACAGCGUCAGUGUACGGCAGGUUCUUCCUGUCCUCUACCUGGACCUGAUGGCUUCCAACCAACCUGCUCAGCUUGCCAUUUCUGCAGAAACACUAAACAUGAUUGCACCUCACCAAAUUCAUACUACUGAAUAAUACCUUUAGGGAUAGAAAAAAUGUCAGACCAGCUGAAGAACAAUGCCCAUAUAGGUCAAAACUAAGGAAACUAAGUACAGUUUUUCUCAUUUAUAUCUAAUGUACUCUUGGAGCAUAAAGUUUCAAUGGGGUUCUUUUCCAGGUGUAUUUACAUUUAAAUGAGAAUUAUACCAUGGCUACUGAGAAUUUAACCUGGAAUUUAAUCUAUGGUUGAUUAUGGUUUCAAGUUUUCUAAUUUGUUACGGUAUCCUAUGUGUCUGUAAGUUGUCUUUCUUUAUCUUUAUUUGUUCACUUUGUAUUUAUUUAAUUGCAUUUUUAUGCUAAUUCAUAUGAAUCAUCUAUUAAAUAAAUACACAAAUGUGAACAGAUUUAAGAAUUACAGGCAAUGUGAGAUCAAAGUUAGACUAAUGGUGACAUAGAGGAAUUGUAAAUGCACACAAACGCAGCGCAAAAGUAAAAACCAAAAAACUGAUAACACUGCAUUGCAUAAGAGAUGUGUGGUGCACUGUUUGUCAUGAGUCCAAAAGGGCAGGGCACUGUUACAUCCAUCAAAAGGGAUUAUCUUAGAACAAGGGCUCAAUUUUCAUGAAACCCAAAGCACUGAAAUUUCCUAGCAUAAGCUGUGUACUUGGAGGAGUUAGGGCAUAUUUGAAUAAUGGCCAGUCAAAUUCAGCAAUUUGCUGCAGUGUGGAGGAUAGUACUCUGUCUUGACAUUUUAUGAUGUGUUGAACUAUGCUGUAUUUACUUGUUAGAAUACUUUGCAAUAUGCUGUAAUAACUCAGCAACAUUGUGCAAGGAUCCUGGUCUUGUCACUUGCUGUUUUGCUUCCCUGCUUGUUACUGUUUAAAUGUUCUUGAUGACAUGAGGAAUUUACUUCAAAAAUUUAAAUGGGAGCAAUGGAGCCUCUCUUGACCUGCCCGGCUGGAGACAUAUAGGAGAGAACCAGGGUUUUGUGGUGUCUCUUGAGAUCAAGCUGCAACAAGUUGCCAAGCAGUGGAAGCGGUCUUGGUCCUGGAGGCUCCUUCCCCAUUUCCUUCGAAGUGAAGCUACGAGAGACAAGAUAGAGGACGAGCAGGAGAGCAACAGCCCCCAGCAGAGUGGUGGGACUAAAAAAGAGCAAGAAAACUAAAUCUUCAAUAAGACACAUUUCUUCUGCUCUUGAUGGUACUCCUUUGACUGAGCCUACAGUGUCUACACAGUCUGCGUAGCGAAAGCAGCACACUGACAGAAGCAGCUUUUAAUACAGUCCAUUUUCUACACACAGGAUGGGUUCAGGCACAAUACUGAGUGAAGGUCGAGGCAUUUUGGCAUGUGCUCAGAUCCAAUAUUCCCUGGCUGUCCCCUGCACAGGUAACCAUGACCCCUGCAAGUGUGAGUACACAGCCCGGGGCACGGCAGGGAAGCCGGGACAGUCGUGACAAACUUCCCAUUCUUGUACAACAAAUGGGCAGGAUUAAAGGUGUGUGAUUAUUAAUACUAAAUGUUUUAAAGAGCAGUACAAACUACUAUCUUUAAACAGCUUUCUAGAAUCAAGCAUGCAGUUGCAUCUUGUUUCAUAAUUGUUCAUGAACUUGAAGACUUGUUUUAAUCAGUCAGAUCUUCGCCUUUCUAAUAAAAGGUGAAGAUUCCAACCACCCUGCUCAGCUUGCCAUUUCUGCAGAAACACUAAACAUGAUUGCACCUCACCAAAUUCAUAUUACUGAACACCGAUUCAUCUCAAUGCCUUUGGGGACACAAAAAAAUGUCAGACCAGCUGAAGAACAAUGCCCAUAUAGGUCAAAACUAAGGAAACUAAGUACAGUUUUUCUCAUUUAUAUCUAAUGUACUCUUGGAGCAUAAAGUUUCAAUGGGGUUCUUUUCCAGGUGUAUUUACAUUUAAAUGAGAAUUAUACCAUGGCUACUGAGAAUUUAACCUGGAAUUUAAUCUAUGGUUGAUUAUGGUUUCAAGUUUUCUAAUUUGUUACGGUAUCCUAUGUGUCUGUAAGUUGUCUUUCUUUAUUUUUAUUUGUUCACUUUGUAUUUAUUUAAUUGCAUUUUUAUGUUAAUUCAUAGAAAUUAUCUAUUAAAUAAAUACACAAAUGUGAACAGAUUUAAGAGUUACAGGCAAUGUGAGAUCAAAGUUAGACUAAUGUUGACAUGGAGGAAUUGUAAAUGCACACAAAUGUAGCACAAAAGUAAAAACCAAAAAACUGAUAACACUGCAUUGCAUAAGAGAUGUGUGGUGCACUGUUUGUCAUGAGUCCAAAAGGGCAGGGCACUGUUACAUCCAUCAAAAGGGAUUAUCUUAGAACAAGGGCUCAAUUUUCAUGAAACACAAAGCACAGGAAUUUCCUAGCAUAAGCUGUGUACUUGGAGGAGUUAGGGCAUAUUUGAAUAAUGGCCAAAGAGACGCAAAACAACGUGUCUCUUUCAGUCCGUUUGUCUUGCUCCUAUGUAGGAAGGGGCCCUUUACAUGUCUGUGUCACUGCCCAGGGGCCUGUUGUCUCAUAAUCUGUCCAUGCUGUAGGCUUGGUGGAGUUACAAAUAGCAGCUAUUUAUUGAUAAACAAUAUUUGUUGUUUAUUUGGCAUUCUUUUUUUACACUGAAUAAACAAUGAAUCACACCUAUUUCACCAAUCUCACCUCUUCAGGAGGUGAGAUGGAACAGAUCUAAUCAAACUGUCAAUCAUGAUUAAGCAAUUCAAAAGCAAGAUGAUUAAACAGAAAGGUGAGUAAAUCUAUCAUAAUCAGUAAUGAUAUUCAGUUGUUAAAAGGAGGAAAGCCUCUCAAAAUGUCAUUGUCAGACACAGAUAUAUUGCUGCCAAUUGGUAAAUGUUGCAAUCUGACACUAUGCCUUCCACACCAUGGAUGAGAAAAUGACAAGUGUCCAUGCACAGUGGCGGUUCCCGCUCCCACCUUGGCAUAAAAAAACAUUAAUCAAGACGUUCCAGCUCUCCUCCUCAUUGGCGACUGACGGCACACAGCUCAUGAGCUGAAGGGGU